AAAAGAUGGUUCUGCUAUCACUCUUGGAUGGACCUGCGGUGCAUUAGCUAGUUGGUAAGGUAACGGCUUACCAAGGCAAUGAUGCAUAGCCGAGUUGAGAGACUGAUCGGCCACAUUGGGACUGAGACACGGCCCAAACUCCUACGGGAGGCAGCAGUAGGGAAUCUUCCACAAUGGACGCAAGUCUGAUGGAGCAACGCCGCGUGAGUGAAGAAGGGUUUCGGCUCGUAAAGCUCUGUUGGUAGUGAAGAAAGAUAGAGGUAGUAACUGGCCUUUAUUUGACGGUAAUUACCUAGAAAGUCACGGCUAACUACGUGCCAGCAGCCGCGGUAAUACGUAGGUGGCAAGCGUUGUCCGGAUUUAUUGGGCGUAAAGCGAGUGCAGGCGGUUCAAUAAGUCUGAUGUGAAAGCCUUCGGCUCAACCGGAGAAUUGCAUCAGAAACUGUUGAACUUGAGUGCAGAAGAGGAGAGUGGAACUCCAUGUGUAGCGGUGGAAUGCGUAGAUAUAUGGAAGAACACCAGUGGCGAGGGCGGCUCUCUGGUCUGCAACUGACGCUGAGGCUCGAAAGCAUGGGUAGCGAACAGGAUUAGAUACCCUGGUAGUCCAUGCCGUAAACGAUGAGUGCUAAGUGUUGGGAGGUUUCCGCCUCUCA
rnacentral:rRNA from 1 species